rnacentral:tRNA from 1 species
GGGCACUUAGCACAGGGUAGUGCACACACUUUGCAUGUGUGAGGUCGUGGGUUCAAAUCCCACAGUGUCCA